rnacentral:rRNA from 1 species
UACAGAGGGUGCGAGCGUUAAUCGAAAUGACUGGGCGUAAAGGGUGCGUAGGCGGUUUAUUAAGUUAGGUGUGAAAGUCCUAGGCUCAACCUGGGGAUUGCGCCUAAUACUGGUGAACUAGAGUACUGGAUAGGAAAGUGGAAUUUCCGGUGUAGCGGUGAAAUGCGUAGAUAUCGGAAGGAACAUCAGUGGCGAAGGCGGCUUUCUGGCCAGAUACUGACGCUGAGGCACGAAAGCAUGGGUAGCAAACAGG